rnacentral:rRNA from 1 species
AUUGAACGCUGGCGGCAUGCUUUACACAUGCAAGUCGAACGGUAACAGGUCUUCGGAUGCUGACGAGUGGCGAACGGGUGAGUAAUACAUCGGAACGUGCCUAGUAGUGGGGGAUAACUACUCGAAAGAGUGGCUAAUACCGCAUGAGAUCUACGGAUGAAAGCAGGGGGUCGCAAGACCUUGUGCUACUAGAGCGGCCGAUGGCAGAUUAGGUAGUUGGUGGGAUAAAAGCUUACCAAGCCGACGAUCUGUAGCUGGUCUGAGAGGACGAUCAGCCACACUGGGACUGAGACACGGCCCAGACUCCUACGGGAGGCAGCAGUGGGGAAUUUUGGACAAUGGGCGCAAGCCUGAUCCAGCAAUGCCGCGUGCAGGAUGAAGGCCUUCGGGUUGUAAACUGCUUUUGUACGGAACGAAAAGCCCUGGGUUAAUACCCUGGGGUCAUGACGGUACCGUAAGAAUAAGCACCGGCUAACUACGUGCCAGCCGCCGCUGUAAGAC